UAGCUAGUUGGUGAGGUAAAGGCUUACCAAGGCGACGAUCUGUAGCGGGUCUGAGAGGAUGAUCCGCCACACUGGAACUGAGACACGGUCCAGACUCCUACGGGAGGCAGCAGUGGGGAAUUUUGGACAAUGGGGGCAACCCUGAUCCAGCCAUGCCGCGUGAGUGAAGAAGGCCUUCGGGUUGUAAAGCUCUUUCGGCCGGGAAGAAAUCGCAUGGGCCAAUACCCUGUGUGGAUGACGGUACCGGAAUAAGAAGCACCGGCUAACUACGUGCCAGCAGCCGCGGUAAUACGUAGGGUGCGAGCGUUAAUCGGAAUUACUGGGCGUAAAGCGUGCGCAGGCGGUUUUGUAAGACAGGCGUGAAAUCCCCGGGCUUAACCUGGGAACUGCGUUUGUGACUGCAAGGCUAGAGUACGGCAGAGGGGGGUGGAAUUCCACGUGUAGCAGUGAAAUGCGUAGAGAUGUGGAGGAACACCAAUGGCGAAGGCAGCCCCCUGGGUCGAUACUGACGCCCAUGCACGAAAGCGUGGGUAGCAAACAGGAUUAGAUACCCUGGUAGUCCACGCCCUAAACUAUGUCAACUAGGUGUUGGGUGGGUAAAACCAUUUAGUACCGUAGCUAACGCGUGAAGUUGACCGCCUGGGGAGUACGGCCGCAAGGUUAAAACUCAAAGGAAUUGACGGGGACCCGCACAAGCGGUGGAUGAUGUGGAUUAAUUCGAUGCAACGCGAAAAACCUUACCUACCCUUGACAUGCCAGGAACUUGCCAGAGAUGGCUUGGUGCCCGAAAGGGAGCCUGGACACAGGCGCUGCAUGGCUGUCGUCAGCUCGUGUCGUGAGAUGUUGGGUUAAGUCCCGCAACGAGCGCAACCCUUGUCGUUAAUUGCCAUCAUUUAGUUGGGCACUUUAACGAGACUGCCGGUGACAAACCGGAGGAAGGUGGGGAUGACGUCAAGUCCUCAUGGCCCUUAUGGGUAGGGCUUCACACGUCAUACAAUGGUCGGUACAAAGGGUUGCCAAGCCGCGAGGCGGAGCCAAUCCCAGAAAGCCGAUCGUAGUCCGGAUUGCAGGCUGCAACUCGCCUGCAUGAAGUCGGAAUCGCUAGUAAUCGUGGAUCAGCAUGUCACGGUGAAUACGUUCCCGGGUCUUGUACACACCGCCCGUCACACCAUGGGAGCGGGUUCCGCCAGAAGUAGGUAGCCUAACCGCAAGGGGGGCGCUUACCACGGCGGGGUUCGUGACUGGGAUGAAGUCGGAACAAGGUAGCCGUAGGGGAACCUGCGGCUG
rnacentral:rRNA from 1 species